rnacentral:rRNA from 1 species
UACGAAGGGGCUAGCGUUGCUCGGAAUCACUGGGCGUAAGGCGCGUAGGCGGUCAGCACAAGUCAGUUGUGAAAUCUCCGGCUUAACUCGGAAAGGUCAACUGAUACUGUGCGACUAGAGUGCAGAAGGGGCAACUGGAAUUCUCGGUGUAGCGGUGAAAUGCGUAGAUAUCGAGAGGAACACCAGUGGCGAAGGCGGCUCACUGGCCCGGAACUGACGCUGGAGGUGACGAAAGCGUGGGGAGCAAACAGG